CCUACGGGAGGCAGCAGUAGGGAAUUUCCGGCAAUGGACGAAAGUCUGACCGAGCAACGCCGCGUGAGUGAAGAAGGUUUUCGGAUCGUAAAGCUCUGUUGUAAGUCAAGAACGUGUGUGAGAGUGGAAAGUUCACACAGUGACGGUAGCUUACCAGAAAGGGACGGCUAACUACGUGCGACCAGCCGCGGUAAUACGUAGGUCCCGAGCGUUGUCCGGAUUUAUUGGGCGUAAAGGGAGCGCAGGCGGUCAGGAAAGUCUGGAGUAAAAGGCUAUGGCUCAACCAUAGUGUGCUCUGGAAACUGUCUGACUUGAGUGCAGAAGGGGAGUAGGGAAUUCCAUGUGUAGCGGUGAAAUGCGUAGAUAUAUGGAGGAACGCCAGUGGCGAAAGCGGCUCUCUGGUCUGUCACUGACGCUGAGGCUCGAAAGCGUGGGUAGCGAACAGGAUUAGAUACCCUGGUAGUCCACGCCGUAAACGAUGAGUGCUAGGUGUUAGGCCCUUUCCGGGGCUUAGUGCCGGAGCUAACGCAAUAAGCACUCCGCCUGGGGAGUACGACCGCAAGGUUGAAACUCAAAGGAAUUGACGG
rnacentral:rRNA from 1 species